rnacentral:rRNA from 1 species
GAUGAACGCUGGCGGCGUGCCUAAUACAUGCAAGCCGAUCGAACAGACGAGGAGCUUGCUCCUCUGACGUUAGCGGCGGACGGGUGAGUAACACGUGGAUAACCUACCUAUAAGACUUGGAUAACUUCGUGAAACCGGAGCUAAUACCGGAUAAUAUAUUGAACCGCAUGGUUCAAUAGUGAAAGACGGUUUUGCUGUCACUUAUAGAUGGAUCCUCGCCGCAUUAGCUAGUUGGUAAGGUAACGGCUUACCAAGGCAACGAUGCGUAGCCGACCUGAGAGGGUGAUCGGCAACACUGGAACUGAGACACGGUCCAGACUCCUACGGGAGGCAGCAGUAGGGAAUUUUCCGCAAUGGGCGAAAGCUUGACGGAGCAACGCCGCGUGAGUGAUGAAGGUCUUCGGAUCGUAAAACUCUGUUAUUAGGGAAGAACAAAUGUGUAAGUAACUAUGCACGUCUUGACGGUACCUAAUCAGAAAGCCACGGCUAACUACGUG